GCAUAUCAAUAAGCGGAGGAAAAGAAAAUAACAAUGAUUCCCCUAGUAACUGCGAGUGAAGAGGGAUAAGCUCAAAUUUUAAAUCUGUUAGGUUUUACCUGACCGAGUUGUAAUUUGAAGAAACGUUUUCGCGUGUGCUUGAUCGGCCCAAGUCCUUUGGGAUGAGGCAUCACGGAGGGUGAUAAUCCCGUACGGCUGUCAUUGCACGUAUACGAUACGUUUUCAAAGAGUCAAGUUGUUUGGGAUUGCAGCUUAAAAUGGGAGGUAAAUUUCUCCUAAGGCUAAAUAUUGGCGAGAGACCGAUAGCGAACAAGUACCGUGAGGGAAAGAUGAAAAGCACUUUGAAAAGAGAGUUAAAUAGUACGUGAAAUUGUUGAAAGGGAAACGAUUGAAGCCAGUCGUACCGACGGAGAAUCAGCUUUUGGAGUGCGUGAUGCGGGUAUUCGAGGAGUUUAAAAGCCCUCUUGUGCUUGCAGUUGCAUGCUACUGGAGCGCACUUCUUCGUAUUGGUAGGUUAACAUCAAUUUUGGACGUUAUAAAAUGACUGAAGGAAUGUAGCUUCGAUUUUUCGAAGUGUUAUAGCCUUUGGUAAAUGUGACGACCGGGAUUGAGGAUUGCAACGAAUGCUUUUUGGCUAUCCGUCUGGCCUCUGAUGGUUUCUUUGGGGUCGAAAGCGUGCUUACGGCUUCAAAGCUGGCUGUCAAAAGGUUAGAACGCGAUUAAAUUCGUUAAGGAUGUUGACGUAAUGGCUUUAAACGAC
rnacentral:rRNA from 1 species